GUUAUGACACAAUUAAAAAUUCUGCAUUGUCAACUUGCAGCGUGGAUGAGGCCUAGAGGCCUGGGAGGAGGCCCUCUGUGGGGCCCUUCAAACAUGCCCAGCAGGAGAAUUUACUGAACCAUGAAAUCGCAUAUAAAAUCUUCCUACAUUUUCUUCCUGCAUGUGAUGGUUUGGAUGGAGACUGUCCCCCAUGAGGGAGGAGGGAGGACUCAGAAACUAGAAGCUGGUUCAGGGCAUGGUUCUUAAGGUCUGCUGUAGCAUCCUCAGCUCAGUGAAGUGAUUCCACGGAUGUACAGGGCAUGGAGGUGGGGAAGAGGAGAGGUCUAGAUACCUGAAGACAUGGCCCCUUUUCUAGACUGACCCCUGGAGGAGGUGGCAGCAUGUCACAGGGGGAGCUUCACUCCUUCAUCUUGGACGUCAUCUGCUGGCUUCCAGUGCAAGUCCCUCAGCCUUUUGGCACAGAUGUUUCAGCUUCCAGCACUGGCCCUUAGGCCUUCCCAGCACAGAUCCUUCAGUCUCCCAUCACGGAUCCUUCAGUCUCCUGAUAUGGACUUGCAUGGGACAUUGCCAUGGGCUCCAAGCCCUCCACUGGAUCCUUUGGGUCUCCAGCUUACAGACAGUUGUCUUGCACUCUCCUCCAUCUGACUCUGAUUGCAAGAUGGUAAGAAGAAAGUCCAGCUAUUCCUGGAGGAACGAAAGAGAAACAGUGCAAGCUAGAGUCUUGGGAGAGGUAAAGCCCCCAGCUCUCCUAGGCCGGGAUGGCGUUGUGAUGACUUCAGAGGACAGUGUGAGAGGCCACCCACCACACCUAUGUCACUGAAUGAGAAGUUCUGGAAACCUCCGGGCCUCUGUGUGAGAUUCUUCCUGGCAGACAGAGUGCUCUGGGGAUGGAGGGCUGUGGAGAUGGCAUGUUCUGCCACCUGGUGCCCUGAUUCUGCCCGUCCCACAGACAGUGGUGCACAGGGGUUGGUACCCACCUGGCAGAAAGGAGCAGGGAAGAGGUGCCCAGCUUAGAGAGGAUGCCACACUCCUGAGGCUGAACUUGUUGCAGAGAGAGAGGCUCUGGCGUGCUUGGCAGUAGCAGAGGCUGUGCUGGGGCUGCUUCUGGGUGAGGGACACACAGGAGGGUGGCAGCACCGUGUUCUGAAAAGCAGCAUCAAUCACAGCUAUGCCCUCUGACCACUCUCGAAAGUCAGCCUUGGACACAGUAGGUGUGCUCUAGGGAUUUUCUGGGAAGGGGAAUGUGGACACUGGGUUUGAAGCCAGUAUCUCAAACAUACGAAGUGCAGGCUUUCCCACUGGGUUACACCCCCAGCCCAAGACGAGCUUUCGAAGAGGGGAUUCUGGAGCUGGGAAGGAGCAGCACAUUCACUAAGCACAUUUCACAGGCUCUCUGGCUCAUCAGGUUGCAGACCAGACACACUCAAUAAAUACGUGAACUGUCCUUAGAGUAAACAGAAAAAUGAUGCUAGUUAUUCUGGGACUGGAGACAAGAAGAACAAGUCAGAUCUGAACAGAAAAUGAUAAAACCUGCCCUAGUCAAAGCCAAAACACAUCUGUGGGUCAUAUUCUAUUUCUCUAUAUCCUGUAUAACUUCUGUCUAGUGGGUAUGUCUGAUUCUGAAAUAAAUAUACUGGAAAUAUCUUAGUUAUAUUUUUGUCAUUCUCCAUGGAUUUAUUUGUAUUUGAUGUUAAUUUAUCUACACACUUCUUUAUAUCAAAUUUCUACAUAUGCAUAUAUAUACAUAAAAUAGCAUUAAUUUGAAUGCUUCUAGCUCUAUGUAAAUAGUGUAAUUAUUUAUAUUAUUAUACAGCUCACUUUAAAAGGAGACAUCCCACUAGGGCCCAUAUUUAAUAAUAUGCAAGGAAAUGAGGCUAUUUUCUAUGAAAUUUUAAGCAAGCAGAAAGGAUCUGGAAUGCUUUGAAAAGAUGAACAUUUAAAAAAUUCAAAUAAUUUUAUCAAGCAGAAAUGAUUUCUUGUCAAAGGAAAGUAGGCAGGAAUAUUAAAAUACUAAACUGACACAGUUCCCAAAAUAAUUCAAUAAAACUAAAAUCCCUAUUCAAAUGCAUAAGUUCAGAACAUUCUUUGAAAGCUGAAUAGUGAAAGUUCAUGAGAAUUGUUUAUUCUUUCAUCGUUUCCUUUUAAACUGCUCUUUGAAUAGCUGUUGUACAUACAAAACAGGACUCAUCAGUAACUAGUUUCCAUUUUAAAAUAUAUAUUACGAUGAUCAGAAGCAAUUGUUAGAGGAAAUCUCAGGCCACAAUAUUAAUGAAAAACUGUUUUCCCCCGUAUUAACAUCAGAGAGGAGCAAUUGGGCUGUGUAUUUGUCCAUUAGAAAAUCACUUGACACUGAGCAAUUUAACUGGAAAUUUUUAGUUUGGAACCAAUUUCUACUGGCAUGCAAGACUCCAAGACCUUAUAAAAGAAAGAAGACUUCAUGGCUUUAUUAGUGGUGUGAGCUAUGGUCUUUGUUUCCCUUUUUAAAAACUUUGUUCUAUUUUCCCUCAACUUUCUCAUAUUUUGAGAAAGGACACUUAAAUUUGCAACAUUUUAAAUUUAAGUAUUGUGUCCACAUACAUAAUCCUAGUAUUAAAAAUUCUUUUACUGAGCCUGGAGGACAUUACAUAAACCAAGAUAAUCAGGCACUGAAAGACAAAUAAAUGUGCAAGUUCCUACUUGUGUGGAAGCUGAAGCUGAUCUUGUAGAAGUUGAGUGGAAUAGUGGUUACCACAACCUGGGGAGGGUUGAGGGGCCACAGAAUGGAAACGAUGGUUAAUGGGCACUGAGAUGCAAUUGCAUAGGAGAAGUGACUUCUAGAUGUAGCGCAGAGGGAUAACUAUGGUUGACAACAAUUACUUGUGUAUCUCAGAUAGCUGGCAGAGAAGAUUUUCAGAUAUUCCCAGCACAGAAAAAUAAUAAAUGUUUGGAAUGAUGGCUAUGCCAAUUACCUGAAUUGAUCACUACACUUUGUACAGAUGUAUUGAAAUGUUACCUGUACCCCCAAAACAUGUAUUAUAGACAGCUAAGCUAGGUAGAAAUAUUAUAGGCAGUCAGAUGGGGCCAGGCCCUCGACAGAGUCAGCACAAAAGAUAAGAACACAUUACACAUUACAGUAGCCGGAGAUGCAUCCAUUGGAGAACAGGCCUCAAAAUAAAGAUGAAAUGACCAGGCCUGCAUACUUCUGCAAAAGACAAGAUAAGAGGUCACACCUGGCCUAGUGAGAUCUAGAUAGACAUUAGUCACCCUGGUGGGUGACCAGGACCUCUGGAUGCAUCAUUCCUUAAAAAAGUCUUUGUUCUUUCCAUGCACACUUGUUGCAUGACUUGUUCCCCCACUGGAUCACUAUGACCUAAGUGAUUAUACUUGUAACCUUAUUGAUUAUGCUUUAUAAAGCUUUCCUGUCAAGUGGGGUCCUUGGCUACCCAUUCGGGACCCCUCCUGCCUCUCAGGAGCGAUCCUCUCAAUAAAUCCUUCCUACUUGUAACCUCCCUUGUUCCUAAAAUUCAUUCU
rnacentral:lncRNA from 1 species